UACGUAGGGGGCUAGCGUUGUCCGGAAUCAUUGGGCGUAAAGCGCGUGUAGGCGGUCCGGUAAGUCCGCUGUGAAAGUCGGGGGCUCAACCCUCGAAUGCCGGUGGAUACUGUCGGGCUAGAGUGCGGAAGAGGCGAGUGGAAUUCCUGGUGUAGCGGUGAAAUGCGCAGAUAUCAGGAGGAACACCAACUUGCGAAGGCAGCUCGCUGGGACG
rnacentral:rRNA from 1 species